GGUGGGGUGGCUGAGCGGUCGAAAGCGGCACACUGCUAACGUGUUAAGGGCGUUAAACCCCUUCGAGGGUUCGAAUCCCUCCCCCACCG
rnacentral:tRNA from 1 species